AUGGCGGCACCACAGAGUCCGAGUACAACGACUACAAGGUCGGCGUGCAUCCCGAAUACGGCGCGCAGCACGCACGUGUUCACGGUCGCCGGCUACAGGCUGCACAAGGGCAUCGGCGUCGGCAACUUCAUCCGGCCGAUCUGCCACAUUGGACGUCCGCGGCUACGACUGACAAAGAAAUCCAUGGUGAGGGCGCUCUACGACCUUAGGCUGACCAACUGGGCCACCGGUCUGUCGUCACUCAUCUUCUCCCGGCAAUCGUCCUUUCCGGCGUUCGACUCCCGCCGCUCAUUCAGGAAGAACAACCACCAUGUCAAGGGGCAAUCCCUGUUCAUGAAGAGGGACCUCCUGGAGGCAUCCCCGUACCUGAAAGAUGACUGCAUCGUCAUCGAGUGCGAUGUGACUGUUCUCCUCAAGGAAAUACCGACCGUGGCGACCGCCACCACCAAGACGCCUGAGAUCCAGAUCGUGCUCGCGAUGCGGUCUCCGGUGAUCGACGCGGAGCUCUACGGGCCAAUGGCAGUGUGGGACAAGGAGAAGCAGUGCAUACAGAUUGUGGACAUGCAGCCCGCCGUCUUCGGAGCAUUUCUUCACUUCAUAUACACAGAUUCAUUGCCUGCCAUGGAUGACCUCCUUGACAGCCAUGACAAGAGGGAGGUGAUCAGGCAUCUGCUUGUGGCUGCAGACAGGUAUGCCAUGGACAGGCUCAAGCUGAUGUGUGAGGCCAUCCUCUGCAAGGGUCUAGACGCCGAGAGUGUGGCGGCCACGUUAGCUCUAGCUGAUCAGCAUGGUUCCAGCAAGCUGAGAGACGCUUGCAUGGAGUAUAUCAAGCUCUUCACCUAG
rnacentral:rRNA from 1 species